rnacentral:rRNA from 1 species
UACGAGGGGGCAAGCGUUGUUCGGAAUUAUUGGGCGUAAAGGGUGCGUAGGCGGUCUGACAAGUCUGAUGUGAAAUCUAUGGGCUCAACCCAUAGUCUGCAUCGGAACUGUCGGGCUUGAGUAUGGGAGAGGUGAGUGGAAUUUCCGGUGUAGCGGUGAAAUGCGCAGAUAUCAGGAGGAACACCGGUGGCGAAGGCGGGUCUCUGGGCCGAAUACUGA